rnacentral:rRNA from 1 species
UACGUAGGGUCCAAGCGUUAUCCGGAAUCACUGGGCGUAAAGCGUGCGUAGGUGGACUUUUAAGUGCAAUGCGAAAUCCUGUGGCUCAACCAUAUGGACUGUAUUGCAUACUGGAAGUCUGGAGGACAUGAGAGGCAAGUGGAAUUACCGGUGUAGCAGUGAAAUGCGUAGAUAUCGGUAGGAACACCAAUGGCGAAGGCAGCUUGCUGGAAUGUUUCUGACGCUAAGGCACGAAAGCGUGGGGAGCGAACAGG